rnacentral:rRNA from 1 species
GAUGAACGCUGGCGGCGUGCCUAUACAUGCAAGUCGAGCGAACAGACGAGGAGCUUGCUCCUCUGACGUUAGCGGCGGACGGGUGAGUAACACGUGGAUAACCUACCUAUAAGACUGGGAUAACUUCGGGAAACCGGAGCUAAUACCGGAUAAUAUAUUGAACCGCAUGGUUCAAUAGUGAAAGACGGUUUUGCUGUCACUUAUAGAUGGAUCCGCGCCGCAUUAGCUAGUUGGUAAGGUAACGGCUUACCAAGGCAACGAUGCGUAGCCGACCUGAGAGGGUGAUCGGCCACACUGGAACUGAGACACGGUCCAGACUCCUACGGGAGGCAGCAGUAGGGAAUCUUCCGCAAAGGGCGAAAGCUUGACGGAGCAACGCCGCGUGAGUGAUGAAGGUCUUCGGAUCGUAAAACUCUGUUAUUAGGGAAGAACAAAUGUGUAAGUAACUAUGCACGUCUUGACGGUACCUAAUCAGAAAGCCACGGCUAACUACGUG